rnacentral:rRNA from 1 species
CGGGGUGCAGCAGGCGCGAAAACUUUACAAUGCCGGCAACGGCGAUAAGGGGACCUCGAGUGCCAGGUUACAAAUCUGGCUGUCGUGAUGCCUAAAAAGCAUUGCAUAGCAAGGGCCGGGCAAGACCGGUGCCAGCCGCCGCGGUAACACCGGCGGCUCGAGUGGUAACCGUUAUUAUUGGGUCUAAAGGGUCUGUAGCCGGCCGGAUAAGUCUCUUGGGAAAUCCAGCAGCUCAACUGUUGGGCUUUCAGGAGAUACUGUCUGGCUCGAGGCCGGGAGAGGUGAGAGGUACUUCAGGGGUAGGGGUGAAAUCUUGUAAUCCUUGAAGGACCACCAGUGGCGAAGGCGUCUCACCAGAACGGACCUGACGGCAAGGGACGAAAGCUAGGGGCACGAACCGGAUUAGAUACCCGGGUAGUCCUAGCCGUAAACGAUACUCGCUAGGUGUCGGCCACGGUGCGACCGUGGUCGGUGCCGUAGGGAAGCCGUGAAGCGAGCCACCUGGGAAGUACGGCCGCAAGGCUGAAACUUAAAGGAAUUGGCGGGGGAGCACAAGGGCAAUCGCGGCC